UACGGGGGGGGCAAGCGUUGUUCGGAAUUACUGGGCGUAAAGGGCGCGUAGGCGGCCUUCUAAGUCAGACGUGAAAUCCCUCGGCUCAACCGAGGAACUGCGUCUGAUACUGGAGACCUUGAGUCCGGGAGAGGUGAGUGGAAUUGCGAGUGUAGAGGUGAAAUUCGUAGAUAUUCGCAAGAACACCAGUGGCGAAGGCGGCUCACUGGCCCGGAACUGACGCUGAGACGCGAAAGCGUGGGGAGCAAACAGG
rnacentral:rRNA from 1 species